UACAGAGGUCCCGAGCGUUGUUCGGAUUCACUGGGCGUAAAGGGUGCGUAGGCGGUCGGGUAAGUCUGACGUGAAAUCUUCAAGCUCAACUUGGAAACUGCGUCGGAUACUAUUCGGCUAGAGGAAUGGAGGGGAGACUGGAAUACUUGGCGUAGCAGUGAAAUGCGUAGAUAUCAAGUGGAACACCAGUGGCGAAGGCGAGUCUCUGGACAUUUCCUGACGCUGAGGCACGAAAGCCAGGGGAGCAAACGGG
rnacentral:rRNA from 1 species